rnacentral:lncRNA from 1 species
CCUCUGUCACUUCUCUUUAAUUCCAUCAUAUGUAUUUCAAAAUGGUGCACUGUCAUGAUUCUGGAAAAAUCCAAAAUCUAAUACUUUAUGGCAUGAUAUAAAUCUUCAUUAUAGAUUUAAAAGGAUAUUGAAUUCCACAUUUUGCUUUAUGCAUCUUAAUAUUGACUCCUGAUUAACAUCACUAAACCUUAAGACACUAGGAGCAAGUAAGUUUCAAUUUUGUAUGCAUAAGCCUUUGAAUCUUCUGUUAAAAUAUGACACCAAAAAUUAUUAAUAUACUACCAGAUGCAAACUUUUUUAUGCCAUUUCACUCUACAAUUAUUUGUCCUUAUCCAAAAGCCAUAUCUCUAUAUCAUUAGUAUCCAACCAUACAAUGUCCAUGCAGCUUAGAAAUACAGGCAGCAUGGAGAAGUUUGACAGAGAUCUAAAUAGCAUCAUGGAACCACCAACUGCAUUAGUCUUCUGAUAUUUAUCAAUCUCCUAUUAAUUUUACAUAUUGAAUUUAAUUCAGAAACAACAAAUGGAAUAUAUCAGAUGUUGCAUCACAAACAACUAGACAAUUUCCCUGGCUACCAAAUAAUACACAGUGAUGGUGAAAAGACUGCCAAUAUAACAGAUGCUGCCUUUGUCACAAAAAUACAUAAAGUGAUCUUUCUACUGAUGCAUCUAUUUUUAAAAUAGAACUGUAUGCAGUAUAUUAGGCAUUCCAUUGUGCUCAACAAAGUAAGUUAUAGAGAAUUAUUAUUUGCACAUUCUUCUAACUCCCUCAAUACUAUAUAAAAUCCCAUAAGUUAGUCAUCCACCCAGAAUUCAAGUCCUCCACAUAUUAGAACAACGUUAGAGUGCUAGCAUCCAGUUGUUCUGGGUGUCUGGACACAGGGAUUCUGGGAAUAAGCUUGUAAAUAAAAUAGCCAAAUCAGCAGUUAACCUCCCAAUAACUUGGUUAAAAAUACUUUACAUGGAUUUAAAGCAGGUGAUCAACAUAUAUACACAAGAUAUGGCUCUCUGUAUCUCAGUCAUGCUAAUAUAAGUAAAUUACACUAUCAUGCAUAAAUUCAGUCUGGGUGAACCCAAUAUCAUCUAAUUGAUACUUUGAUGAUAUAAAUGUAAGAAUGAGAAUUGGACAUACUUGACUCACACUUAUCAUGCAUUGCCACCAAAAUGUACUUAUUGUCAAGUUCCUCUCACCAUCCAGCAUGAGCUGCUGACUUAUCCUCAAUAUAAUAUAUGAGAUUGUUUGAUAGCAAAAUUUUAAACUUUUAUAUGUCCAUCAUAUAUCCAUAUCAAUGGGUUUUUUUGCUCCAAUCCCAUGAAUUAUUACAUAAUACUAUAGUUAUCUCCUUUCAGAUGUCAAUACAGUUGGACCUCCAUAUAUCUAACUUCUAUAUAUCGAAAUUCUCCGUAUAUCGAAGUUUUUUGUUAGUCCCAUGAAAUUCCAUUGAAAUUUGU